UAUGCUCCAGAAGAGCUAGGACUUUGUCUUAUUCAGACAAAAUCUGAAGUAUACAAGAAUUGCAGUAUUCAGAUUCUACAACAGUGAUGUUUUAAUUAGAGUACAGGUGGCAGGAAAACCCAGCUUGCUACACCUCUAGCAACAUUACCAUCUGGCCUGGUCUAAAGUUGCUUCCAACUUUGAUAUACACAUGAUCAAGCUAUCAGGAAUUGGAAACACUGAAUCAUGUGUAACAAGAAGGAUCUAGACAGUUAAGCCUUGUACAAAAUCACUUCCGGGAGAAAGCAGACCCGUCACGAUGUGAUAUUUACUGUCAUUCCAGCAGCUGUCAAGCACAGACCUAAACUAGAUGGCUCUAUAAUCACAGGGCUGCCUAAUGGUGUGUGUGCAUGUAAAAACAAUGAGGAGGAUGACACCCAGGUUUUCAAAUUCCUCAGUGAACCAGCACUUCUGAAGAGUUUUCAAGACAAAGUCUUUCACUAUCGAUUUAUUAGGCAACCCAACAACAAAACUUUAA